AUGAAAGGUUUUACAGGAAGCCCUCAGCAGCAGCAAGGGCUGCAACUACAACUUUUCAGGGAAACAGGAGGUGGGAAAAGGGGAAGAAAAACAGGGACCCCUCUACAGUCACCUACCAGAUCUAAGACAAGGGGGAGAGCUGACUUGUGGCUGGCUGACAUAAUAUUCAGACUUUUCUUCAUUCAGACCUUGAAGUUUAGAAGUUUGUGAUUACAGCUGACUAAACAUCUGUCCAUCAAUAUAACGUGCUUUCAUCCAGUAGCCUAAUAAACGACAUUUGAAGCAGAUUGGUCUGGGUGAA
rnacentral:lncRNA from 1 species